UACGUAGGUGGCAAGCGUUGUCCGGAUUUACUGGGCGUAAAGGGCGUGCAGGCGGUUUGUUAAGUGCAGGGUGAAAGCUCCCGGCUCAACUGGGAGAGGUCCUUGCAUACUGGCAAACUCGAGGGAGGCAGAGGAAAGUGGAAUUCCCGGUGUAGUGGUGAAAUGCGCAGAUAUCAGGAGGAACACCGGUGGCGAAGGCGGUUCUCUGGGCAUGACCUGACGCUGAGGAGCGAAAGUGUGGGGGAGCGAACAGG
rnacentral:rRNA from 1 species